GUGCUCAUUUUGGCAGCAAAUAUACUAAAAUUGGAAUGACACAGAGGAGAUAAGCAUGGCCCCUGAGCAAGGAUGACACGCAAAUUUGCAUUCUGUAUUUUU
ensembl:snRNA U6 U6 spliceosomal RNA